GGAAAAUGGAGUACCCAGAGGAAACCCCCGAAGCACAUAGAGAACAUGCAAACUGCACGCAGACAAGGUGGAGGCAGGAAUCGAACUGAUUGAAAUGUUAAAAAAGUCACUCCAGACCUGUGAAAGCUGAGAUACACUCUAACCGAGAGCACAUGCGGUGAUUUUACAAUUUUCUUCACACAAUUCUGAUACACUAGACACAAACAUUUACAUCCGUUUUCUUUUUUGAACUUUCUUGUACUGUUUUUUUCAUAACUAUCAGUAAAUCCAAGAGUUUAGAUGUUCUGCUUUAACCUGUGAACCCAAUGCCUGAUGUGGUAUUUGAGCACAAUAGGAUAGAGUAUAUCAGUGGGAGUAGAUUGUAUGGAGUGGUUUCCGUUAUGCCGUGAAAUCUCAUAUAUCAUCUCCAUAAGUUUUCCAUCCCCUGUCCUGAAGACCUGCAUGUCCUUCUGUCCUGUUCCCACCCCUUCCUCUCCAUCAAAGAUCUGAGUCAGCACAGCCCGGCUUGGCAAUCGACCAAAUGGGCUGCUGUGAGCUAUAGCCUGUCUGAACUGAACGGCCAGGCAUUCAUUAGGCUAAAAGCCUAGAGACGCUGACAGCACACAGACACACCGACACACACACACACACACACACACACACACACAAACACUGACACACACACCCUGACUGAGAUAGAUCUUGCUUGGAUAGCAUCCACUAACUACAGAUGCCUGAAUAUUUACUGCUGCUUCUUUCUAUUCCAGAUGAGUGCACCCUGUUGCAGACAAGGAGAACUGAAGCGUUGGGGGAAAUGUCAAGGUAUAAAAGUAGACUAGUGUUAGAGAACAUUUGUGCAACCUGAACAAACGUAAUGCUUUCAAACUCUGUGUCGUUUUGUUACAGAUGAGCCGUCUUGCAAGAAAUCGACAAAUUACACAACCUCCAAAACUACCCGAUAAGAUGAUGGACUAGUGCUCUAGUCACUUUAUUUAACAGGAGCGCCUUUGAUGAUUCGUGAACGAUGGGGACCUCAGGACAAAACAUUUCCAAAUGCCAUUACUAGAAACCAAGAAAAACCACAUUUAUGUCAUGUCCCUCCAUUUCAGCAACACUGUUGUGUUGGAGCCCUGGUUCCCUUACAGCAAAAUAAUGUCUGCAUGAAUUUUUCAUCACUGCUAAUAAAUAUUAAUGAAUGAGAGCAAUUUCUCCCAAAAAGACAGACAUAGAAAAGCAUGUCCAAUGCUACAGUAAGCCUCACACUAUAGUUUCUGUACAGUACAGCUAUAAAACUUACACACAUGUGGGUGUGGAUGGCAAUAAAACAAGAUAGAUGUUUAUCACAAAGGACCUUGUGCCAGAUGUGGAAACUGCUGUUGUAUUACAUCAUUCAUUCUCACAGCAAUUUCAGUUUCACAAAAUGUACUGAUGCCAUACUACUGGGGUAUUCAACUAUUAGCAAAGGUAGAGUUACAUAAAAAUCCUUGAUUACAAAGGCCCAGAUAAGCAACUAACAUGACAGAAUGGUGACAAC
ensembl:lncRNA